GUCCCUGUAGCGCAAUGGAUAGCGUGUUGGACUACUAAUCCAAAGGUCAUGGAUUCGAAUCCUACCUGGGAUU
rnacentral:tRNA from 1 species